rnacentral:rRNA from 1 species
CCCUUAGAUGUUCUGGGCUGCACGCGCGCUACACUGAUGCAUGCAACGAGUUUUCGACCUUGCCUGAAAAGGUUGGGUAAUCUGUUUAACAUGUGUCGUGAUGGGGAUAGACCAUUGCAAUUAUUGAUCUUCAACGAGGAAUUCCUAGUAAGCGCGAGUCAUCAGCUCGUGCUGAUUAUGUCCCUGCCCUUUGUACACACCGCCCGUCGUUCCUACCGAUUGAGUGAUCCGGUGAAUGAUUCGGACCAGCGUGCUGCUCAGAUCCUGCGCAGUGUGCUGGGAAGUCUAGUGAACCUUAUCACUUAGAGGAAGGAGAAGUCGCAACA